UAAACACGCAGGUGUUUGCAGUUACAUCGUCUGCAGCCCAGAGUAGUGUUGGAACGUUGUCUGCUGGUUGAGCUUGUGGGAAAAAGAUUGCUUGUGUGGCGUGUGUCUAGUUCGUGGUUCUUGGAAGUCAUUAGCGACUAGGAGUUGGAUGUUGGAUUCAUCACGUUCCAUAACCAGCUCUUAUCCAGGACCGGUGAGUGCUGUUGGUGAGCGCUAUUUAGUAUUGUGGGAAAUAAGCGUGGGGUAAUGGUUGCUUGUUCUCUGGUGCAGUAUAGGUGGAGGUGUAUGGACUGUUACGGUCUCCUGGCCAUAGAUCUAACAUACAGCGUUACAGAGGCUUGUUGGCUGCUGCUUUGCUGCGUUUGUCUGCUACCAUCUUGUGCUGCGUUCUCACGACGCAACGCUGCUUUAUUUGUGGGCUGCUUGUUGCUACACUGCUUGGCUCCACUGCUUGGUUUCACUGCCUGACUGUCACCGCCUGGUUAAUCCAACGGAGCUACCCGACGAACUAAACAUCUGACGUGCUCCAGGCAGGCUGUAUGGUGCAGUUGUGGCAUGUCUGCGGUGUGUUCUGUGUAUUGUAUGCCUGUGGUGUGUAAGUGCGUGGGCGAGUUCGACCAUCAAUAAACUUGUCUCGUUCGUAUGAUCAUAUGAAUCACUGUACUGUUUGACUAACCACACUGUCGGAGCAAUUUUAGUUUAUUUAUUUUUGUUGUGUUAUCCCGGAGUGAUAAGUGUGCUAGGGCCUUGCUGAGUUUUCCUGCCAUUAUUAUUAUAGUUUGAUGUUUGGUUUUACACCCAAGGAUUGUGUUUGGUGAUUUUGAUUUGGCAGCACUGAUUUAUUUAUCAUUUGAUUUUGGGUUGGAUCAUAUAAUUUGCUGUGCUUGUGUGUUUUGUUUCUGUUUUCUCUUUUUGGUUAGGUUAAACUCAGUAGGCCAUGGAUGCUUAGCUCCUGAACGGUCUGCACAUCAAAGCCCUCCUAUCAGUACCAGUGCAUGUGUAACUGUUGUCCUUUUCCUUUUAAACUUUGAUCAAAUAAAACCAUAUGCUUUUGUGGAAA